GGCACCAACCAGUCAAUGAGUGACUUCUACAAGAAAAAAGCUAUUGCGCUGCUGCAGUUUUCACACACACACACACACACAAAAUCCGCAUAGCUAGCUUUCCAACAGACUGAGAAUCUUGCAGUAGCCUAUACAUACGGUAGUAGGCUUAUGAAUAAAUGUGAUAGUAGGCUAGACGACGUUCUUGAUAAAGCAACCAACGACGACAACCGCUCAAGCAAACCGUUAUCUCUUGACGCCUGCCUGAUAUAAUGUGCCUAUUUACGCACUGACAGCCAUCCCAAGCUAGAAGAUGUCCUACAAAAUAGGAUACUCCUUUUCAAAGCCAAGGAAGGCUAUCCCUUGUUUGCACACCACCACCAUGUGACAGAAUUAUCAUUUCUUUCGAAGAGACAUAUCCAGGGAAACUACUUCUACCCAGCUACUAAUGUAGGCCUACCGGUUGUCACGGUUGCAUGUGAUGUUGCUGUGAUAGCUCCACUUAGUGUCACUGCAGAGCAGUCAGAGUAUUUAGAUAGAGCGCAGUUUAUAGGCCAGACAUGACUAUCUAAUAAUACUGUAUUUUGAUUUCUCUCCUUACAGGCUUGAGGCACAUCUCUAGGCUAGCCCACGAUAGCCUGCUAAAUACAUCCUUUCACAUUAAUACAGUUACACGGCUGUCAAGCACCCAUGGCCCAUUAAAUAGGGGGCUCCCAAGUGGCACAGCGAUCUAAGGCACUGCAUCUCAGUGCUAGAGGCAUCACUACAGACCCUGGUUCAAUUCCAGGCUGUAUCACAACCGGCCUUGAUUGGGAGUCCCAAAGGACAGUGCACAAAAAAAACUGAGUUGGGUGGUAGGUUCCAAAUGUACCGUGGCCCUUUAAAAACAUCACUCGUGGCUUCAAGCCACACCUACCAAAUGGAGCAAACGUAUCCCCAAAACAUUCAACAUUCUUCAACAGACUUUGAGGUAUAUUUGCUCGGUUUGGUUGGCAUGACUUGAAGCGAUGAGUGAUGUAUUUAAAGGGCAGCAGCCAUGCCGACAGCGUUCCCCGGUCCCUCCCUGUUUCUCAACUGGUCGUUCAGAACGGCACCAUUUCCGUUUAAUUGAACUUAACACACUGUUUUUUUUUCAUACUAAACACAGCUAAGGUCUCCCUUUCUGAAUAUGCAUCCCAAAUGGCACUCCAUUCCCUAUAUAGUGCACUACUUUUGACUAGGGACCUAUAGGGCCUGGUAAAUAGUGCACUGUGAAGGGAACAGUGUACCAUUUGGGAUGAAACUCUCAUCUCAGACCAAAAGCCUACCAUUUCUAAUACAAAUGCCUGUUGUGAUUAUUCUUAUAUGCGCAUUUUCGUGGAACAGUUUCAUUUCAUUUAAUUGUUUUUCACGUGACCUCCUGUUUUGUCCUAAUUUUGUGAUGGGUGUUAUAAUAAAGUUUCAAAUUUGGGGAGGC